rnacentral:rRNA from 1 species
GAUGGGAGCUUGCUCCCUGAUGUCAGCGGCGGACGGGUGAGUAACACGUGGGUAACCUGCCUGUAAGACUGGGAUAACUCCGGGAAACCGGGGCUAAUACCGGAUGCUUGAUUGAACCGCAUGGUUCAAUUAUAAAAGGUGGCUUUUAGCUACCACUUACAGAUGGACCCGCGGCGCAUUAGCUAGUUGGUGAGGUAACGGCUCACCAAGGCAACGAUGCGUAGCCAACCUGAGAGGGUGAUCGGCCACACUGGGACUGAAACACGGCCCAAACUCCUACGGGAGGCAGCAGUAGGGAAUCUUCCGCAAUGGACAAAAGUCUGACGGAGCAACGCCGCGUGAGUGAUGAAGGUUUUCGGAUCGUAAAACUCUGUUGUUAGGGAAAAACAAGUACCGUUCGAAUAGGGCGGUACCUUGACGGUACCUAACCAAAAAGCCACGGCUAACUACGUGCCACCAGCCGCGGUAAUACGUAGGUGGCAAGCGUUGUCCGGAAUUAUUGGGCGUAAAGCGCGCGCAGGCGGUUUCUUAAGUCUGAUGUGAAAGCCCCCGGCUCAACCGGGGAGGGUCAUUGGAAACUGGGGAACUUGAGUGCAGAAGAGGAGAGUGGAAUUCCACGUGUAGCGGUGAAAUGCGUAGAGAUGUGGAGGAACACCAGUGGCGAAGGCGACUCUCUGGUCUGUAACUGACGCUGAGGCGCGAAAGCGUGGGGAGCGAACAGGAUUAGAUACC